GUUCUUCCAAAACACACACUUUUUCUCUCGGUGAAAAACAUGUCGGAGGCAUCACCAGGAAGUUCUUCACUGGCAAGUCCAAGUAUUCAAAUGGUUUUGAAAUCAGUCUCCGAGAGACUUCUUUGGUUCUUUCUUGAUAAGUCUCUUUCUUGAUAAGUCCUUCUAUGCAUAUCAAUAUGACUCGACAAUGAGCAAAGUGGUCUUUGGUCUCCACUAAUACCUGCCAGAAGGGUUUUCUUGGCUUCACCAGCAGGCCAUAUUUAUUCCGAAGAUGAGUUUUUCUCAAAGCUUAAGAAAGCAAAGAGAGCGUGUACAAGGCGCAUUGCUUGUUUCAAUCAUAUGAGCAAUUCCAGAUAACGCUAUGCAUGUUCUUCAGUUCUCAAUUAGUUCAUUGCAUUUCGUGGGG